rnacentral:rRNA from 1 species
GACGAACGCUGGCGGCGUGCCUAAUACAUGCAAGUCGAACGCAGUGGGGACGGGUGAGUAACACGUGGGUAACCUCCCAUCAGAGGGGAUAACACUUGGAAACGGGUGCUAAACCGAUACUGAUGGCUGGACCCGCGGUGCAUUAGCUAGUUGGUGAGGUAACGGCUCACCAAGGCCACGAUGCAUCGCCAACAUGAGAGGGUGAUUGGCAACACGGGGACUGAGACACGGCCCAGAUUCCGACGGGAGGCAGCAGUGGGGAAUAUGGCACAAUGGGCGAAAGCCUGAUGCAGCCAUGCCGAGUGUAUGAAGAAGGCUGUCGGGUUGUAAAGUACUUUCAGUCGGGAGGCGUGACCGACAGAAGAAGCACCGGCUAACUCCGUGCCAGCAGCCGCGGUAAGAC